GCCUUGAUCCCAUAAACCUUUAGUCAACAACUAAAAACCCAAACCAGCGGGCUUCAAUCUACUUCUCCCGUUGCGAAAAACGGGAGAAGCCCCGGCAC
rnacentral:tRNA from 1 species